rnacentral:rRNA from 1 species
AGUGAACGCUGGCGGUAGGCCUAACACAUGCAAGUCGAACGGCAGCACAGUAAGAGCUUGCUCUUACGGGUGGCGAGUGGCGGACGGGUGAGGAAUACAUCGGAAUCUACUUUUUCGUGGGGGAUAACGUAGGGAAACUUACGCUAAUACCGCAUACGACCUACGGGUGAAAGCAGGGGAUCUUCGGACCUUGCGCGAUUGAAUGGGCCGAUGUCGGAUUAGCUAGUUGGCGGGGUAAAGGCCCACCAAGGCGACGAUCCGUAGCUGGUCUGAGAGGAUGAUCAGCCACACUGGAACUGAGACACGGUCCAGACUCCUACGGGAGGCAGCAGUGGGGAAUAUUGGACAAUGGGCGCAAGCCUGAUCCAGCCAUACCGCGUGGGUGAAGAAGGCCUUCGGGUUGGAAAGCCCUUUUGUUGGGAAAGAAAAGCAGCAGGUUAAUACCCCGCUGUUCUGACGGUACCCAAAGAAUAAGCACCGGCUAACUUCG